AAUCUUCCACAUUGGACGAAAGUCUGAUGGAGCAACGCCGCGUGAGUGAAGAAUGUUCACGGUACGAAAAGCCCUUUUGUAAGGGACGAACAAGUACAGGAGCAACUGUCUGUACCUUGACGGUACCUUACCAGAAAGCCACUGCUAACUACGUGCCAGCAGCCGCGGUAAUACGUAGGUGGCAAGCGUUGUCCGGAAUUAUUGGGCGUAAAGCGCGCGCAGGCGGUCCUUUAAGUCUGAUGUGAAAGCCCACGGCUCAACCGUGGAGGGUCAUUGGAAACUGGAGGACUUGAGUACAGAAGAGGAAAGCGGAAUUCCACGUGUAGCGGUGAAAUGCGUAGAGAUGUGGAGGAACACCAGUGGCGAAGGCGGCUUUCUGGUCUGUAACUGACGCUGAGGCGCGAAAGCGUGGGGAGCAAACA
rnacentral:rRNA from 1 species